rnacentral:rRNA from 1 species
CAGGCCUAACACAUGCAAGUCGAACGGUGGCAGCAAUGCCAUAGUGGCGCACGGGUGCGUAACACGUAACUAACCUGCCCAGACCUGGGGGAUAGCCCGCCGAAAGGCGGAUUAAUACCGCAUAAGAUAAUAAGGUGGCAUCACCUAGUUAUUAAAGAUUUAUCGGGUUUGGAUGGGGUUGCGGGUCAUUAGCUAGUUGGUAAGGUAAUGGCUUACCAAGGCGACGAUGACUAGGGGAGCUGAGAGGCUGGUCCCCCACACGGGCACUGAGAUACGGGCCCGACUCCUACGGGAGGCAGCAGUAGGGAAUAUUGGGCAAUGGGCGAGAGCCUGACCCAGCCAUGCCGCGUGCAGGAAGAAGGCUUUCUGAGUCGUAAACUGCUUUUGAUAGGGAAGAAUAACCAGUACGUGUACUGGGAUGACGGUACCUACAGAAUAAGCACCGUCUAACUCCGUGCCAGCAGCCGCGGUAAU